rnacentral:rRNA from 1 species
UGAACGCUGGCGGCGUGCCUAAUACAUGCAAGUCGAGCGAACUGAUUAGAAGCUUGCUUCUAUGACGUUAGCGGCGGACGGGUGAGUAACACGUGGGCAACCUGCCUGUAAGACUGGGAUAACUUCGGGAAACCGAAGCUAAUACCGGAUAGGAUCUUCUCUUUCAUGGGAGAUGAUUGAAAGAUGGUUUCGGCUAUCACUUACAGAUGGGCCCGCGGUGCAUUAGCUAGUUGGUGAGGUAACGGCUCACCAAGGCAACGAUGCAUAGCCGACCUGAGAGGGUGAUCGGCCACACUGGGACUGAGACACGGCCCAGACUCCUACGGGAGGCAGCAGUAGGGAAUCUUCCACAAUGGACGAAAGUCUGAUGGAGCAACGCCGCGUGAGCGAUGAAGGCCUUCGGGUCGUAAAGCUCUGUUGUUAGGGAAGAACAAGUACCGGAGUAACUGCCGGUACCUUGACGGUACCUAACCAGAAAGCCACGGCUAACUACGUG